UUGUUUGUAAGGUUAGUUUGCAAUUGCUUUAUCAGUUUAUUUUUGCAUUCUUCUCCAUAACUUCACUGGAUACUUCUUCGUCUCCGCUAUACAUCUCCAGUUACCUCUUACUUUCCUUAACUGAGUGAUGCUGAAAAUUUCGCCUUAAUUUGAAUUUCUAAGAUUAAACCUGAACUCUUUAUUUAACUUUUGUCAGGUUAAUUUUUAUGUGAAUGCUUUGUCCAUUGAUUUAAGAAAGUAGCGAUAGUCCAUUGAGUUUUUCUCUCUAUCUUCCUAAGACUAAGGUUCAUGCCUUUUCUUUCAAAUGGUAAAUAUUUUUGAGUUUAGUUGAUUAUUUUAGAAUUUUGUAGUAGCCUUAUCUAUGCAUUUUUUGGAAGUUAAGUUGAGUCGACUAAAUAGAUGACUUUUAAUUGUUAUGGUUAGAUUUGUGUUGCAUUCUCUUAUUAAUCACAAAAAAAUAUUUUUCUUCGAUGUAUAAUAAGUAGUUAGGUGACUCCCACAAAGAGUGUUCUCAUAUGCUAUAAAUUACUGACUAUGAUUUUAUCUUCCCAAUUUUAUUUAAUUGCCUAGCAUGUUCACUAUACUUUAAUUACUAAGAGAGGUUUAACUGAGAAAUAAAUUCGAAAGUAUAUUUUCUCAUGUGUUAAUUUAUGUGGAACACAAAACAAAGCUCUCUAAACUACUAAAGAAAUUUUGUGUACCUACAAUCUGCCAAAUUGAGAAUCUCUUUCAUUAUAGAUGUCAGUAAUAUUAUUUGAGCCUCAAAUGAAGAAGAUAGAGCCCAUUCUGCUAAAAGUAUCUUUAUUUCUCCUAAAUUUAUGAGAUUUUUUUAAUGUUAACCUUUUAAAUUAGAUGUCUAGAAUUUAUUCUUGGUGUCAGUUGAAGAAGAAAUUACUCAUCCUCCUAAAAGUACUGCUCUUAGCCUCUUCUACUCCUUAACUUUUCCUUCUCCAGGACGAUUCGAGAUCCCAAAAACGAUCCUCAAUUU
rnacentral:lncRNA from 1 species